AUUGAACGCUGGCGGCAUGCCUUACACAUGCAAGUCGAACGGCAGCAUGGAGAGCUUGCUCUCUGAUGGCGAGUGGCGAACGGGUGAGUAAAGCAUCGGAACGUACCGUGUAAUGGGGGAUAACGUAGCGAAAGUUACGCUAAUACCGCAUACGACCUGAGGGUGAAAGCAGGGGAUCGCAAGACCUUGCGUUAUACGAGCGGCCGAUGUCAGAUUAGCUAGUUGGUAGGGUAAAGGCCUACCAAGGCGACGAUCUGUAGCGGGUCUGAGAGGAUGAUCCGCCACACGGGGACUGGGACACGGCCCAGACUCCUACGGGAGGCAGCAGUGGGGAAUUUUGGACAAUGGGGGAAACCCUGAUCCAGCCAUGCCGCGUGAGUGAAGAAGGCCUUCGGGUUGCAAAGCUCUUUCGGCCGGGAAGAAAUCGCACAGGCUAAUACUCUGUGUGGAUGACGGUACCGGCAUAAGAAGCACCGGCUAACUACGUGCCAGCCGCCGCUGUAA
rnacentral:rRNA from 1 species